rnacentral:tRNA from 1 species
UUCUCAGAUGACUGAGGUUAAGUGUCAGACUUUUAAUCUGAAAACGGCAUAUAAACUUUUAAAUGCCUCUGAGAAA